CAACUAGUGACUUAUGCGCAUUGACGUACGAGGUGUAUUAUAUUUUUGAGUACGUUUUCGUAAACUGAGUAACAUACUGUUCUAUUCGUUGUGAAACUAACCAAAGAAGAAAUGAAGAAUUAUCGAGAGCUGAGUUUGCUAGAUUGAGUACUAAAGAACAAGAUCUGUAUUUAAAACAAGUAUUAGACGAUUCAAAUGCAGAAAAUUACAUGGAGUUGGAUAGUGAUGACAAAGACUAGUUGCUUCAGCAAGAGCGCGCCUCAAAACAAGUAGCUACUAAUAUAGUAGUGCUAGAUGACGCCAAAAAGAAAUCAGAAAUUGAUCUUUACUAUAGUAAAUACAAAAGUGGAGUGGACGCAAUGGAUCAAAUACUGGAAGAUACACAAGCCAGUGGCGUACUCUGAGAUGGCCGCUCAGUCUUUUCUAUAACAUCACAGACAUUGCAACUCUUGUACUUUACAUUAUUUAUUAUAAAAAUAAUAAAAUGUUAAAGAAAAAACAAAUAAAAGAAUAUUCAUGAGACAAUUAAGUUACGAGCUUGCUGUUCCAAUAAUUGAGGAUUAAUCGCAAAAUUUACAAAUGAGACAUUAUAAUGUAAAACUGACAAUGAAGACUAUUCUCGACAAAUUAUAAAAACACGAAAAUCUUGUUCAGAAUGUCAAAAAUCAGUGCGUGAUGAGCACACUAUAAUCAUGACAAAGUGUAUAGAAUGUAAUGAAUAUAUAAUUGUUACUAUGGUUAUUUAUAAAAACUUUUGUUUUUA
rnacentral:lncRNA from 1 species